AUGUUCCGUUGAACCUUCCAUUUAUGUAUGCUCACGGCGGGACCGCCCCGGCGCUCUUACGGGCCCGGAACCAGGCGCCCGCCGGAGGCCCCAAACUCUUAUGUCUUUAGUGGUUUUCUCCUCUGAGUGACACAUAAACAAAUAAAUAAAAACUUUCAACAACGGAUCUCUUGGUUCUGGCAUCGAUGAAGAACGCAGCGAAAUGCGAUAAGUAAUGUGAAUUGCAGAAUUCAGUGAAUCAUCGAAUCUUUGAACGCACAUUGCGCCCGCCAGUAUUCUGGCGGGCAUGCCUGUUCGAGCGUCAUUUCAACCCUCAGGCCCCCAGUGCCUGGUGUUGGGGAUCGGCCCAGCCUUCUCGCAAGGCCGCCGGCCCCGAAAUCUAGUGGCGGUCUCGCUGUAGUCCUCCUCUGCGUAGUAGCACAACCUCGCAGUUGGAACGCGGCGGUGGCCAUGCCGUUAAACACCCCACUUCUGAAAGUUGACCUCGGAUCAGGUAGGAAUACCCGCUGAACUUAAGCAUAUCUAA
rnacentral:rRNA from 1 species